AUGGUGCGCAAGAUCGGAUACCAUAUGGAGGACGUUGACGGCGACCAUGCGAUACGGAUGAUCGAGGUGGACACGAAGCGCAUGGAGCUGCGAUCCGUCGUCUGUUACGACGACAACAACAAUUUCUGCUCUCCCCCUGAGUUCAUUCCCGGCGUGAUCUCACAGUACCUCGAUGCCUCCUCUCGCAACAGCCGUCCUCCGGCAAAGCGCCAUGAGCAAGCACCGACGACGGCGGCGGCAACAAUUAUUAAUGAACUCAACUCAUCGGAUAACAAGGCGGCCAUGGCUUCUCCUGGGGAGAUGUUGGCGACACUCCGGGAGAUAGGUGACCUGGCGAGUGAUGACAUGCUGAGAACAUAUAGCGUUCUUGCGUGUGAUGUGAGCCAGUUCAAGUUCAAGUUACUUUUGGCGCUUCCCAAGGACAUGAGGAAGGGUUACUGCCUGCUCCUCUUGGAAAAUCGUCUUUAA
rnacentral:rRNA from 1 species